UGAGUCGAACGCUGUAGCAAUACAGAGUGGCAGACGGGUGCGUAACACGUGGGAACAUACCUUUUGGUUCGGAAUAACUUGGGGAAACUUAAGCUAAUACCGGAUAAGCCCUUCGGGGGAAAGAUUUAUUGCCGAAAGAUUGGCCCGCGUCUGAUUAGCUAGUUGGUGAGGUAAUGGCUCACCAAGGCGACGAUCAGUAGCUGGUCUGAGAGGAUGAUCAGCCACACUGGGACUGAGACACGGCCCAGACUCCUACGGGAGGCAGCAGUGGGGAAUAUUGGACAAUGGGCGCAAGCCUGAUCCAGCCAUGCCGCGUGAGUGAUGACGGCCUUAGGGUUGUAAAGCUCUUUUACCUGGGAAGAUAAUGACUGUACCAGGAGAAUAAGCCCCGGCUAACUUCGUGCCAGCAGCCGCGGUAAUACGAAGGGGGCUAGCGUUGUUCGGAAUCACUGGGCGUAAAGCGCACGUAGGCGGACUUUUAAGUCAGGGGUGAAAUCCUGAGGCUCAACCUCAGAACUGCCUUUGAUACUGGGAGUCUUGAAUUCGAGAGAGGUAAGUGGAAUUGGUAGUGUAGAGGUGAAAUUCGUAGAUAUUACCAGGAACACCAGUGGCGAAGGCGGCUUACUGGCUCGAUAUUGACGCUGAGGUGCGAAAGCGUGGGGAUCAAACAGGAUUAGAUACCCUGGUAGUCCACGCUGUAAACGAUGAAUGCUAGCCGUUGGACAGCUUGCUGUUCAGUGGCGCCGUUAACACAUUAAGCAUUCCGCCUGGGGAGUACGGUCGCAAGAUAAAACUCAAAGGAAUGACGGGGGCCCGCACAGCGGGGA
rnacentral:rRNA from 1 species